rnacentral:lncRNA from 1 species
ACACAGUGCGCGGGCUGCUCCUUGGGCACCCGCGGCCCCAGCGCGUCCGUGCCUGCAUUUAGCAAGCUGCUUUUUUUCCCGUUUCGGAAAGCGCGUUGGCCCUUCGGAGUUUAAUCAGAAGAGGAUUCCGGUCCCGGUCCCCCAGCUCCUCCAUCGUCCCCUUGGCGUGUCUCUCUGCCCUGGAGGUCUGAAGCGGUCCGGUGGAUACGGAUCCAUGCCUGCGCUCCAGCGUGUGUGUGCAAGUGUAAAUUGCCGAGAAGAAGGGAGAAUCACAGGACUUCUGCAAAUGCUGGACUGAAAAAUUGUAAUUCAUCUGCCGCCGCCGCCGCUGCCUUUUUGCCCCGCUGCGGUGCUCUUGAGAUCUCUGGUUGGGAUUCCUACGGAUUGACAUUCUCAGUGAAGCCGGAGUGUGAGGACCCAAUCUGGAAACCCUCCUGAUUUUUCCUCCACCUAGCCCCCAGACCCCAACUCCCGAUUCAUUGCAAGUUGUAAAGAAGCUUAUACAAGGAGACUUCUGAAGAUCGAUGGUGUGGUUGCCUUAUGUAUUUGUUUGGGUUUUACCAAAAAAGGGUAAACUUGACAGAAGAUCAUGCCGUCCUUAGAAAAUACAGUAAGUUCUUUGCACAGGAAUUUUGUUUAAUAUAACUUUCCAUGGACGCGUUUGAAAUAUUUUUUUACUUCAAGUGCAUUCAAGCAAAUUUCAUUUCCAGACAGUUUAAUGCAUUUUUAAACGUGUAACUUGUAGCGGAUAUACCUUUCUUACCCUAAAUAUAUAAAGGAAAACACACCUGAUUUUAACUUCCUAGGUCGUCCCGCCUCUUCACCUUUCAGCAUUGCGGAGGAAGUAGACUGAUAUUAACAAAGCUUAAUAAAUAAUGUACCUCAUGAAAUAAAAAGCAGAAAGGAAUUUGAAUAAAAAUUUCCUGCAUCUCAUGCCAACGGGGAAACACCAGAAUCAAGUGUUCGGUGUAACUAAAGACACCCCUUCAUCCAAGAAUGCAAAGCACAUCCAAUAAAAGAGCUGGAUU